rnacentral:rRNA from 1 species
AACGAACGCUGGCGGCGUGCCUAACACAUGCAAGUCGAGCGCGAAAGGGCCCUUCGGGGGCUCGAGUAGAGCGGCAGACGGGUGAGUAACCCGUGGGUAACCUGCCCUCCGGCGGGGGAUAACCACUCGAAAGGGUGGCUAAUACCGCAUAAGACCACGACCCUUUGGGGUAGGGUUAAAGGCUUCGGCCACCGGAGGAGGGGCCCGCGUCCGAUUAGCUGGUUGGUGGGGUAAAGGCCUACCAAGGCGACGAUCGGUAGCUGGUCUGAGAGGAUGAUCAGCCACACUGGUACUGAGACACGGACCAGACUCCUACGGGAGGCAGCAGUGGGGAAUAUUGCGCAAUGGGGGAAACCCUGACGCAGCAACGCCGCGUGGGUGAUGAAGGUCUUCGGAUCGUAAAGCCCUGUCAGGUGGGAAGAAUCCUGUGUAUACAGUUGACGGUACCACCAAAGGAAGCACCGGCUAACUCCGCG